rnacentral:lncRNA from 1 species
UUUUUUUUUUUUUUUUUUUUUUGAGAUGGAGUCUUGCUCUGUCGCCUAGGCUGGAGUGGAGCGGUGCGAUCUCAACUCACUGCAAGCUCCGCCUCCCGGGUUCACGCCAUUCUCCUGCCUCAGCCUCCCGAGUAGCUGGGACUACAGGCGCCCGCCACCACGCCCUGCUAAUUUUUUGUAUUUUUAGGAGAAACAGGGUUUCACCAUGUUAGCCAGGAUGGUCUUGAUCUCCUGACCUCGUGAUCUGCCCGCCUCGGCUUCUCAAAGUGCUGGGAUUAUAGGCGUGAGCCACCGAGCCCGGCCAGAACUACUACAAUUUUUUUAGGGUCAUUUGGUCCUCUCUCUCAAAAGUGCGCUUACCCUCUAUCCAGGAAUUUCAUUUGUAGGAACCUAUGCUAUGUACAAUUUCACUGAAGUAUUGCUUGUAUUAGAAAAAAAGUAUGGAUGAUAGGCAGGUUGAAUAAAUGUUAAUGUUUUCAUGUAGCUAUGUAUAGGAAUGCCGCUAUGGAAAGACAUCCAGGACACCUUGUUAAGUGAAAAAAGAUGCUGGCUCAGUGUUGCCCCAUAGUGGCCAAUCCUGGGAAGGGCUACUGGGGUUGACCCCUUCACGCUAGAGUGCUUCUAGGCUAGGGUGUGAGUUCCACAGUCAGAGCUGCCUGGCUGCUUGGCCGAAGGAUGAGUUCAGUAUCUGAACACUUUUGCUAAAGGUCUCUGGAAAGCUCCCUGUGUUAAUUCUCGAUGAGACUACGUCUGUGCCGGCCGCUUCCUGAGCCUCCUUCCAUGUGCAUAGGCCUGCUGCAUGCUGGAGACCUGCGGCACAGCUGCCAAGUGCCCCGUGUGGUUCUGUGAUCUUGGGACAGUCACUUCCUCUCUGUGGUUGUCAGUCUUCUCAUCCCUAAGCACUCAAGAAGCCCUUCCUUCUCUGGCUGUCAAGUCUGGACUCAUCUCUUGUCUUACACACGGACAGUUGUUUUAAGGAAAAGCCCCUGGUUGGACUUGCAGAUUGGGCACAGCCCUGGACGUAUACUACAGGUGCUCAUCAAGGCUUGCCUCAUCUGUUUACCCUCCAGGUCAUGCCCCUUUCUACCUCUACACCCUGUUGCAUUGCGGGCAUGGCCUCCGGAAAAGUCAAGCAUGGCGAAAGGAAGCGUGGCCCAGAGCUGGCACGCCACAGGCAAAUGGAAUAAAAAGGCCUACCUCAUUGGGCUCGUGUGGGUGAGGAGAACUGAAGAGUCUGAGAGCGCGGCACGAGCCAGAGGCUACGGAAAACACUGCCCUCCUACACUCCACCUUGGAGAGACCCAGAAAAGAACAAGCUUCAUUUGUAAAAAAGGAAAACAACUCAGGCAAUGGGGGUGGCUUAAAGGCACUCUACAGUGUGCAGAUGCCUUCCACUUCUUCCAUCUGCCCUGUCUCUCCAAGAACCCCUAUGGCCCCGGUCUCAGAACAGAGCUGAGUGCAGAAAUGAAAAUCUAUGGCUCUGUGUUCCAAAACGAUGAAGAAUUUCAAGAUGGUGGCAGUGGUAAAAUCUUUCUCCAGGAAAAAUCUGUCCUUGGCCCAAUGUGUAAACACUUGCUGAGUAUUGUGAAACCAGCAACUUGUUCACAAUUCUUCUGAAUUUCUUGGGAAAUUUGAAGUGGAGUACCUGUACCAACAUGAAAUGACACGAAUUUAAGUGACGCUCAACAACGAAAAGCAAAAAGAACCAAAGAGGAAGCAACUGAAACAACAUCUGGAUGUAUUUAAAAAUAUACAAUGCCUCCAAAAUCAGGUGUCAUUAAUGAAAAUUCUGAAGAAAUGCCACCGGACAUAGCCAACGCACCUACGCUGUUGUUAUUCAUUUCCUGCUUUUCACAGAAAACAAUUUUGUUGCAUGGAAGAUCGUGAACUUCAAAGGGCAGAGGGGAAACUGUCCCUUGGCCUCUACCCCUCCAAGGCCCCACUUUUUUGUCAACACUCCUUGGACGCAGCAGAAGUAUGAACAUAAUAUGGUCCUGAAUGAGGCUGAGUCUUUGGGCGCAGAAGACCCGGGUUAAUAAAAAUAGGAAGAAUCAGAUGCUGCCCUUGUGGCCAGUUGGGUUCCCACCCACCUGAUUCUGGAGCCCUGGACCAGAGCCCUACGUUCACCAUGGGAAGAGACCUUGUGAUAAGCCACUCCUGAAGGCAUGGCCUAACUCUGGACACAGGUGGACAGUGGGUCACCACCAGGCUUGGCCACCACCCAGAUCCCCUUGGACCAGGAGAUCAAGGCUUCGUGCUCCAUCAAGGACAUGAAACAAAACAAUGGGGAGGAAUAAAACAGGAGACCUAAAAAAGUUAUGGGCUCUGGCCCAGUGUGGAGGGGCCAGAGGCUGACUGAAAAGCAGGCCCAGAGAGAGGAAGAAAUUCAUUCACCCAAGGUCACAGAGCUUUCAGCAGAGCUGGGACAGACCUCCUCUGACUCCCAGGCUGGGGCAGUUUCCUCCAGGGCUCCUCACCCAACCACGAGUUGUUCUUCGGUGACCCCAGGCACCUUCACAGCUCCAAACAUCACCACCAAGAGCUGCCUUGACUUUUCAGACGUCAUCGAGAACAAUAACAACAAAAAAGCAUGAAAGAAAAAAGAAAGCAACAAAAACAAAAAGUAAUAAAACCCUCCACCGUUCCCCAGCCCUGACCCAAGAUGCCUUCAUUGCACAAAUCAGUGGUGAGGUUUCCCCACAGCCUGCUCUGACCAGGGUCAUUUUGCAAGGGAAAGUGGCAUGUUUUGGGAUUGUACCCCACCCUGUAUGUUUGUAGGUGCUGUAUGUCUGAACAUUUAAACUAGAAUGUCUUCAAGAGCACCAACCGUGCUAUUUGUUUUUCUCAGGCUGUUUUCAUUAAGGCUGUGGCCUCCCAGGCAGAGCCCAGGGACUUAAUUACGGCACCCAAAGGUUAUCUCCCCAAACUAAAUUUCAUCUCAUGUCGGGCAGCUGGAGCCAACUCCGCCAGCUGUCUUAAUAGUUCAGACUUUGCCUCCCGUCCCUCUGCUUGGAAAUUAGGCUGGCUGGGUCAGCUCUAUACCCACACUUACUGCCUGCAAUGCUUUGUGAGAGGAGUUGCCUGCCCUUUGGCUCUUGCACACCUCCUGGAAUGACAAUAAAGCCUUCAGUGAUUGAGGGCAGAGAUUUCCUUAUUCACCUUCAUAUCCCCAGCACCUAGCCCAGGUCCAGCACAGAGCGCAGGAAAGGUCUGUCAAAUUACCAUGUAUUUCCAUAUAUUUCUAUUUUACUCAGGUUGGUCAACUCCUCAGCUCUUGAGCCUACAUUUUGCCUCUGCACUUCAGCUCGGGUUGUUCCCUCUACCUAAAACGCCUUUCCACCUCCUUUCUACUGCUCAGAAUCUUGUCACUUUUCAAGGACCAAUUCUACCCCCUCCUAGAGGGUGCACUUCUUAAGAAAAAGGGUUGGGCUGAUUUAUGCAUGUAUCCCUAUGUAGAAGUGUUCAGCACAUGUCUGUACCAAGAAUAAAUAAAUGAAUGAAUGAAA